UACAGAGGGUGCAAGCGUUGUUCGGAAUUAUUGGGCGUAAAGGGAGUGUAGGCGGUUUGCUAAGUCUUCUGUGAAAUCUACGGGCUCAGCCUGUAACGUGCAGAGGAAACUGACAGACUUGAGUGUCGGAGAGGAUAGUGGAAUUCCCGGUGUAGAGGUGAAAUUCGUAGGGAUCGGGAGGAACACCAGUGGCGAAGGCGACUAUCUGGCUGACAACUGACGCUGAGACUCGAAAGCAUGGGGAGCAAACAGG
rnacentral:rRNA from 1 species